GAUGAAGAACGUAGCGAAAUGCGAUAAGUAAUGUGAAUUGCAGAAUUCAGUGAAUCAUCGAAUCUUUGAACGCACAUUGCGCCCCCUGGUAUUCCGGGGGGCAUGCCUGUCCGAGCGUCAUUACUGCCCUCAAGCGCGGCUUGUGUGUUGGGCCCUCGCCCCCCCGGGGGCGUGCCCGAAAGGCAGUGGCGGCGCCGUGCCCGGUCCUCGAGCGUAUGGGGCUUUGUCACCCGCUCUGGAGGCCCGGCCGGCCGCCACCGACCCGUCCAGACCUUUAACCGGUUGACCUCGGAUCAGGCAGGGAUACCCGCUGAACUUAAGCAUAUCAAUAAGCGGAGGA
rnacentral:misc_RNA from 1 species